GACGAACCGAGCGAACGUUGUUCGGAAUAACUGGGCUUAAAGGGCGCGUAGGCGGGCUGUCAAGUCUGGGGUGAAAUCCCGCGGCUCAACCGUGGAACUGCCUCAGAUACUGACGGUCUCGAGGGAGGUAGGGGCGAGCGGAACUGUGAGUGGAGCGGUGAAAUGCGUAGAUAUUGGAAAGAACACCGGUGGCGAAAGCGCCUUGCUGGGUCUGCACUGACACUGAGGGACGAAAGCUAGGGGAGCGAAAGGG
rnacentral:rRNA from 1 species